GUUCAAGAAAUGGAAUAACAUUAUUUUUCACCGGUCACUCGUUUCUUAUGACUUUAACGUAGACAUAUUACAAUGUAUAAUGAAAAUACAAUAAUCGAUAUACGGUGCAAUUGAAUAGUCAGUCACUGUUGUCAUUUAAGGUAGCACAGUACAAAGAUUUUUCAUCCCCAAUCAGACAUCUCUAAACUGACGUAACCCCAC
rnacentral:lncRNA from 1 species